rnacentral:misc_RNA from 1 species
AACAAGUCUCACGUUAAUAGAAGCUUUGUAACACAAAAAGGAAAAGAAAACUUUCACAAACACUAAAAAAAGCUCUCUCAACAAUAAGAGCUCCUCAACAACAAAGAAGGAAUUACCAAAACCACCCAACAAGGUACAUGACUGCACUAGAAUAGGUGAGGCGACACUAGGAAAAGAAGGUGGGAUACCAGGCACCAACAAGCACGCCCUCACAGUCCGACGCAUGGGAAAGUGCUAAGAUUGAGUUGUGACACGUUGAGCUCACUUGCUAGAGAUCCGACCAUUGAAUCUCGAUGACAGGUCAAUUGGUAGCCUGGGAAUCCCUUAGGAUAAGUGGCGUGAUGA